GGUCGCGUAACUCAGUUGGUUAGAGUGUGGUGCUAAUAUCAUCCUGAUACGAUACGCCAAAGUCGAGAGUUCGAGCCUCUCCGUGACCU